rnacentral:rRNA from 1 species
UCAGAUUGCAGGCUGCAACUCGCCUGCAUGAAGUCGGAAUUGCUAGUAAUCGCAGAUCAGCAUGCUGCGGUGAAUACGUUCCCGGGCCUUGUACACACCGCCCGUCACACCAUGGGAGUCGGUAACACCCGAAGUCGGUAGCCUAACCGUAAGGAGGGCGCCGCCGAAGGUGGGAUUGAUGACUGGGGUGAAGUCGUAACAAGGUAGC